AGUGGCGAACGGGUGAGUAACACGUGGGCAAUCUGCCCUUCACUCUGGGACAAGCCCUGGAAACGGGGUCUAAUACCGGAUACGACUGCGGAAGGCAUCUUCUGCGGUGGAAAGCUCCGGCGGUGAAGGAUGAGCCCGCGGCCUAUCAGCUUGUUGGUGGGGUAAUGGCCUACCAAGGCGACGACGGGUAGCCGGCCUGAGAGGGCGACCGGCCACACUGGGACUGAGACACGGCCCAGACUCCUACGGGAGGCAGCAGUGGGGAAUAUUGCACAAUGGGCGAAAGCCUGAUGCAGCGACGCCGCGUGAGGGAUGACGGCCUUCGGGUUGUAAACCUCUUUCAGCAGGGAAGAAGCGAAAGUGACGGUACCUGCAGAAGAAGCGCCGGCUAACUACGUGCCAGCAGCCGCGGUAAUACGUAGGGCGCAAGCGUUGUCCGGAAUUAUUGGGCGUAAAGAGCUCGUAGGCGGCUUGUCACGUCGGAUGUGAAAGCCCGAGGCUUAACCUCGGGUCUGCAUUCGAUACGGGCUAGCUAGAGUGUGGUAGGGGAGAUCGGAAUUCCUGGUGUAGCGGUGAAAUGCGCAGAUAUCAGGAGGAACACCGGUGGCGAAGGCGGAUCUCUGGGCCAUUACUGACGCUGAGGAGCGAAAGCGUGGGGAGCGAACAGGAUUAGAUACCCUGGUAGUCCACGCCGUAAACGUUGGGAACUAGGUGUUGGCGA
rnacentral:rRNA from 1 species